AUGUCCAUGAGCUAUCUAGGGCUUGGAUAUAUGAUCCGCAAAAGAGUCUGUCUGCUUGGGUCGCUGCUCUACUCAUGGCCAGUGAGGACAGGGAGGAGCCAUCGAGCCAGGGAUGCUAGGGACAAGCUCCACAAUGGUUGGAGACAAAGAGGAAGACAAAAUGAUGAAAAAAGAAGUUUGCCGGAAUCUCACCGGAGACGGCCACCGGAUGGCAAUUGUGCCGUCUGGAAGGCAAUGUGGAGGUGCCCUGCUGCACCUAAGGAGGCCAUGAGGGAGUCAUGGCUACUCCCGGACCUGGCGACGGUCGUGAACACCGGCAAGGAAUGGCUACUUCACCUCCUGGAUAACUGCACCGAGUUGCAGCGGCUGGUCAUCCUCAUGACCUUUUGGCGUGUGUGGCAUUGUAGGAACGAGGUCACACAUUACAAGCCGGCACCAGCUAUCGAGUGUCCGUGGAGAUUCUUGUGUAGCUACAUCGAGUCCCUACCGUGCAUCAAGCAGCAUCCAUAA
rnacentral:rRNA from 1 species